UGGCUACAAUCCAAUGCCAUCCUCUCUUUCUUGGUUUAUACAUGGCAUCAUCUUUUUAUACUUACUCCUAUUAAACUGCCAAAUUCAACACAUCGGCCUGUUCCUUGGAGCUUGAUAAGGAGAGUGUUUAGCUGCCUGUAUAGCUGAGUAUACGUUCAUGGGGACAACACUUAGCGAGGACAGAACACUCCCCAUUUUAUGUACCUUAGCAGAUUUUCACCCUGUUGACAUUCAACAAACCCCAUGGACAUCCUGUCACUGCUGGCAGUGAUGUCAGAGUUGCUCCAUACCUCACACUUUCCCUGCCGUAAGGACAGAGUUGAUUCUCAUGAUGCUAAUUUCUUCUUCACUUCAUGUUAGUCCACUGUGGGGAAAACUGUCAAGCUCCUAAAUGUCACAGACAGUGCUGUCAGGGCUGGGGGGGUGGGCAUGUGCACUUAUUUAACACAGUGGUUUCACUAUCUCAGAUUUUUUAUCUAAAAAUGUAUUUAUAUAGGAUGAAUAAAAUGAGACCUGAUCAAGCCUCAGGGAACAAGA